rnacentral:rRNA from 1 species
AUGUUGGCUUGGAAGCAGCCAUUCAUUUAAAGAGUGCGUAACAGCUCACUAGUCGAGGAGUUUGGCGUGGAUAAUAAUCGGGCAUUAAGUGUUUUACCGAAGCUAUGGGAUACGUAAGUAUCGGUAGGGGAGCAUUCCACUCAGCGUUGAAGGCGAAGCGUGAGCUUUACUGGAGCGUGUGGAAAAGCAAAUGUAGGUAUAAGUAACGAUAAAGGGGGUGAGAAACCCCCUCGCCGCAAGACUAAGGUUUCCUGAUCAACGCUAAUCGGAUCAGGGUUAGUCGGGUCCUAAGGCUCAGCCGAACGGUGAGGCCGAUGGCAGAACAGGUUAAUAUUCCUGUACUACCUAUAGGAGUGAUGUGGAGACGGAGGAGUGACAACGCCGCGGACUGACGGAAUAGUCCGUUAAAGGGUGUAGAUGUUGAUUAUCCCAGGCA